rnacentral:rRNA from 1 species
AUUGAACGCUGGCGGCAUGCUUUACACAUGCAAGUCGAACGGCAGCGCGGGCUUCGGCCUGGCGGCGAGUGGCGAACGGGUGAGUAAUGCAUCGGAACGUGCCCAGUAGUGGGGGAUAGCCCGGCGAAAGCCGGAUUAAUACCGCAUACGACCUGAGGGUGAAAGCGGGGGACCGAAAGGCCUCGCGCUAUUGGAGCGGCCGAUGUCGGAUUAGCUAGUUGGUGAGGUAAAGGCUUACCAAGGCGACGAUCCGUAGCUGGUCUGAGAGGACGACCAGCCACACUGGGACUGAGACACGGCCCAGACUCCUACGGGAGGCAGCAGUGGGGAAUUUUGGACAAUGGGGGCAACCCUGAUCCAGCCAUGCCGCGUGCGGGAAGAAGGCCCUCGGGUUGUAAACCGCUUUUGUUCGGGAAGAAAUCCUCUGGGCUAAUACCCCGGGGGGAUGACGGUACCGGAAGAAUAAGCACCGGCUAACUACGUG